AUUUGGGGCUAUUCAAACCUGCACGCACAGCCAUGCAACGACAUAGGCAUUAUCGUGAAGCGCGAUUACGGGUGGUUAGGAACCGGUAUCUCGAGUUUACCUAACGGGGGAAAAAAUAGAAAUAGACCUACUUAUAAUGUAGUUAGCAAGGUACCUCUAAUAAUGAAAAAGAACCCUUAUGCCGUGACAUUGUGUAUUCGCAAUGCCGUGACCCGGAUUCGAACCGGGGUUGCUGCGGCCACAACGCAGAGUACUAACCACUAUACGAUCACGGCGAGCUACCAGGGCCAUGCCCCGUUAGGGAGACGUAGGGAUCUUAAAUGAAACCUACAGUGACGUGGAGUAGCGUUCAAGCAGAGAUAUCUUAGUUUAUGUUUUGUCUCUCACAUGACAUGUAACGCAAGUAAUCAUAAUAUUAUCUGUCCAAGUCUUUGAUGAUUCUCCAGAGCUGUGAAUAAUGAAUCGUAAACUUAACCCUAUACUCUGCUGCCAGUGGACGUCUGGCAGGUCAGAGACUGAUAGAUCCAUCCUCUGGAGUUGGGGGAACCCAAUAUGUUGCCCCUGGAUGAUAUAAACAAGGAGAGGUUGACCGUCACCCUCAUGGAUGCUAAUCAUUGUCCAGGGGAGGGCAUGUUCCUAUUCCAAGGAUACUUCGGAACCAUACUCUACACUAGCAGAACACUGUAUUCCACUGUACCACACAAUACUCUACAGGGGUCAGUACUAACUCUAUUCUACUACACCAUACACAAUACACUGUUGAGUCUCUCUCUAGUCUUAACUAGUCAACAAUGGUAUUUAGCCACAUUUUCUACAUCAAGGCAACGGCAUGCUUGAGUAGUCUAAUAUCUACCCCUCACACACAAGCCCUGGUAGCUUGCCGUGAUCGUAUAAUGGUUAGUACUGCUCAUGGCAUUGCGAUUCACGGCAUGAGGGUGCUUUUUGAUUGAGUUAAACUGAGACUCAGCCAUAUGAUGUUACCAUGAGCAGCUCUGCAGAUCAGCACAAGGGCAGGCUAUCACAGAGUAUCAGCCCAUGCGUAGCUUCGGGACGUAGCGGAGAAGUUUUCGUUUUGUGCUUCAAUGCUCUUAGUUGUUGCCAAAAUUGACCCGAUAUAGCUGUUCACUUUGUGACUCUGCCUUUAAACUGUAGCCAACGAAACGAAAUGUAUAGUAUGGUACCCUACACUGGUAUCAAUCUCUGCUUAUUUAAUGUUAUAAUGACAGAGGUAUAAUAAUAUUUUUUUCACCAUUACAAUCUCUGCUAAAUUCACUCUAGUUCACUCUAGUUAUUCAGUUUAGUUCACCCUGCUUAUUCAAAAAGAGCCCUUAUGCCAUGACAUUGUGAAUUUCAAUGCCGUGACCCGGAUUCGAACCGGGGUUGCUGCGGCCACAACGCAGAGUACUAACCUCUAUACGAUCACGGCGAGCUACCAGGGCUUAUAUAUGUGGAGGUGAAAUCGAUCUACUCAAGCAGGCCUUCACUGUGACGUGGCUAAGGUAGCUAAAUUCCAAAGUCUAACGUUACACUUUGAUGCCAGUUAGAUUACAGUUAGUGCUUGUGUGUCUGUGGGAGAUAUUGGGUUAUUCAAGCAUGCAGUGACGUGGACAGGCAGAGUUGACUUUUUGGCUUUCCGCUCAAGGGGUCUCCACAAGCCCUGGUAACUCGCCAUGAUCGUACAGUGGUUAGUGCUCUGUGUUGUGGCCGCAGAAUCCGGGUCACGCCAAUUUGAUACACAAUGUUACGGCAAAAAUUCCCCUUUUGAAUGACUCAAAGUACUAACUGUGUAAUCUAAAAUAUAAACACAACAUGUAAAGUGUUGGUCCCAUGUUUCAUGAGCUGAAAUAAAACAUCCUGGUCUACAGUCUAUGACUUAGGUGGCUGGAGUCUGACAAUUCUUUGGGCCUUCCUCUGACACCGCCUGGUAUAGAGAUCCUGGAUGUCAGGAAGCUCGGCCUCAGUGAUGUACUGGGCCAUACGCACUACCCUCUGUAGCAACUUGCAGUCGGAUGCCGAGCAGUUGCCAUACCAAGCGGUGAUGCAGCCAGUCAAAAUGCUCUCAAUGGUGCAGCUUUAGAUAUUUUUGAGGAUCUGAGGUCCAAUGCCAAAUCUUUUCAGCCUCCUGUGGGGAAAUAGGCAUUGCCGUGGCCUCUCCUGUUAACUAGACAGGUGCUUUAACCAACUAAGCCACAGCACCUCGUAGAGUGAAAUCAUUGUCUGAGCUAGAACACCCAAAAGGGCAGGAGCCUUGCUCCUAUUUAUGUAGCCUUUGGCAGCUUGAUUUUCAAGUACACCCCUUGGACAAGAUGCCUCUGUUGUAUUUUUUCCCAAAUUCCCUUUUCUAUAUUUUUUAUGGACUUUCGAGGUUUCUGUUUUUUGAGGGUUUUUUUCAGGUUUUCGGGCCACAAAAGCACACUUAAAAAACAAAAGUAAAAACCAACUAAAUUGGAUGUUCUAAGUCCACACAACAAUGCUUGAACCACAUCAGGAGACCGCGGCAACACUUACAACAUUUACAUUUACAUUUUUAGUCAUUUAGCAGACGCUCCUAUCCAGAGCGACUUACAGUAGUGAAUACAUACAUUUCAUUUCAUGCAUUUAAAAAAAUAAAUAUUAAUUUGUACUGGCCCCCCGUGGGAAUCGAACCCACAACCCUGGCGUUGCACACACCAUGCUAAGGUUCCAUUUAUAAAGAGUUUAGAGGGGUUAUAAUUACAUUAUUAACGAUUGUUUAAUCAUUUGUAAAUGCCGUAUAUACCAUUAAUAACAUUUAUAUCGCAUUGGUCAAAAUAGUGCAAUAACUGGUCAGUGUUUGCCAAAUUGUGAGCUAAUGUUUACCUCCAGGUAUUAACCGUUUAUAAAUGCACUUACAAAUGCUUAUAAGAUUAACCCUUAUGUAUCAUCAUGCAACCUUAUUUUCAAUAGUUGAACAAUAGUUAUUUUCUCACUUUGUGGGUGUAUUGCGUUAGUGCUCUGUCACAGGAACAGAAGAGGUUGGUUUUCAAUGAUGUGUCUUGACCCACCUUUGAAACCCUGAUGCCCAGUGGCCAAAUUGACUUCCAGGACAUUAUUCAAUCAUCAUUCCUAACAUAUGACCCCUUAACAGAUUAUAGCAACAUUACUUCGCACUUCUCUGCGGUAGUCUAAGUAUGCUGAACGCUCUGGUGUGAAAGGGUAACCGUAAUACCUUUUGGUUGGUGAAAGAGUGGAGUAGGUAUCCUCUCACAAUGUUGAAUGUUUUGGUCUUCAUUCAUUGACUGAACAUGUUUAACAAAGUGUUGAAUCUUCUCAUGUAUGUAGUGAUUAGUACCAAAUACUGCCUAUAAGUCCAAUCAAAAGUAAUUGCUCACAUACACAUGGUUAGCAGAUAUUAAUGUGAGUGUAGAGAAAUGCUUGUGCUUCUAGUUCCGACACUGCAGUAAUAUCUAACAAGUAAUCUAACAAUUCCACAACAACUGCCUAAUACACAACUACCUAAUAAGUAAGGGAUGGAAUAACAAUAUAUACAUAUGGAUGCACGAUGGCCGAGCGGCAUUGGCAAGAUGCAAUAGAUGUUAUGAAAUACAGUAUAUACAUGUGAGAUUAAUAAAUGGAUCACUAGUCACUUUAAUAAUGCCACUUUAAUAAUGUUUACAUAUCAUGCAUUACUCAAGUGGCCAAUGAUUUCAAGUCUGUAUGUAGGUAGCAGCCUCUCUGUGUUAGUGAUGCUUGUUUAACAGUCUGAUGGCCUUGAGAUGGAAGCUGUUAUUCAGUCGCUUGGUCCCAGCUUUGAUUCACCUGUACCGACCUCGCCUUCUGGAUGGUAGCGGGGUGAACAGGCAGUGGCUCAGGUGGUUGUUGUCCUUGAUGAUCUGGUAUGUCUAAGCUCUUGAGUGAACUAUCACAUAAUCAAUAAAUGAUUUACCCACAUGUAUAACAGCAUCAUGCUGUGGGGAUGUUUUUCAACGGCAGGGACGAGGGAAAGAUGAAUGAAGUAAAGUACAGUGAGAUCCUUGAUGAAACCUGCUCCAGAGCACUCAGGACCUCACAAUGGGUUGAAGGUUCACCUGCCAACAU